GCGGAGGAAAAGAAACCAACAGGGAUUGCCUCAGUAACGGCGAGUGAAGCGGCAAAAGCUCAAAUUUGAAAUCUGGCUCUUUCAGGGUCCGAGUUGUAAUUUGUAGAAGAUGCUUUGGGUGUGGUUCUGGUUUAAGUUCUUUGGAAUAUUACAUCAUAGAGGGUGAGAAUCCCGUAUGUGACCAGUCGCCGCGCCCGUGUAAAGCUCUUUCAACGAGUCGAGUUGUUUGGGAAUGCAGCUCAAAAUGGGAGGUAUAUUUCUUCUAAAGCUAAAUAUUGGCCAGAGACCGAUAGCGCACAAGUAGAGUGAUCGAAAGAUGAAAAGCACUUUGGAAAGAGAGUUAAACAGUACGUGAAAUUGUUGAAAGGGAAGCGCUUGCAACCAGACUUGCACGCAGUUGAUCAUCCGGUGUUCUCACCGGGGCACUCUGCUGCGUUCAGGCCAGCAUCGUUUUCGGUGGUUGGAUAAAGGCCUUGGGAAUGUAGCUUCUUUCGGGGAGUGUUAUAGCCCUCGGUGCAAUGCAGCCUACCGGGAGCGAGGACCGCGCUUCGGCUAGGAUGCUGGCGUAAUGGUUGUAAGCGGCCCGUCUUGAAACACGGACCAAGGAGUCUAACAUCUAUGCGAGUGUUUGGGUGUCAAACCCAUACGCGUAAUGAAAGUGAACGGAGGUGAGAACCCGUAAGGGUGCAUCAUCGACCGGUCCUGAUGUCUUCGGAUGGAUCUGAGUAAGAGCAUAGCUGUUGGGACCCGAAAGAUGGUGAACUAUGCGUGAAUAGGGUGAAGCCAGAGGAAACUCUGGUGGAGGCUCGCAGCGGUUCUGACGUGCAAAUCGAUCGUCAAAUUUGCGCAUAGGGGCGAAAGACUUAUCGAACCAUCUAGUAG
rnacentral:rRNA from 1 species